rnacentral:misc_RNA from 1 species
UACAGAGGGGGCGAGCGUUGUCCGGAUUUAUUGGGCGUAAAGAGCUCGUAGGCGGCUCAGCAAGUCGGCUGUGAAAUCCCGAGGCUUAACCUCGGAACUGCAGUCGAUACUGUUGUGGCUAGAGUCUGGUAGAGGAGAAUGGAAUUCCCGGUGUAGCGGUGAAAUGCGCAGAUAUCGGGAGGAACACCAGUAGCGAAGGCGGUUCUCUGGGCCAGUACCGACGCUGAGGAGCGAAAGCGUGGGUAGCAAACAGG